rnacentral:pre_miRNA from 1 species
CAUUCGACUCGAAUAAAAUUUUGCCCGGAAACUUUUCCGGAAAAAUUUUCGGGCAAAAUUUUAUUCGAGUCGAAUG